rnacentral:rRNA from 1 species
UACGAAGGGGGCUAGCGUUGCUCGGAAUCACUGGGCGUAAAGGGCGCGUAGGCGGACGACCAAGUCGGGGGUGAAAUCUUUCGGCUCAACCGGAAAAUAGCCUUCGAUACUGGCCGUCUGGAGGGAGGUAGGGGCGUGUGGAACUUCCGGUGGAGCGGUGAAAUGCGUUGAUAUCGGAAGGAACUCCGGUGGCGAAAGCGACACGCUGGAUCUCAUCUGACGCUGAGGCGCGAAAGCCAGGGGAGCGAACGGG